AGUGAACGCUGGCGGCAGGCCUAACACAUGCAAGUCGAGCGGCAGCGGGUCCCCGCGAGGGGAUGCCGGCGAGCGGCGGACGGGUGAGGAACACAUCGGAAUCUGCCUGGUUGUGGGGGAUAACGUAGGGAAACUUACGCUAAUACCGCAUGCGACCCUGAGUCGACGGACUUGGGGUGAAAGUGAGGGACCUUCGGGCCUCACGCGACCAGAUGAGCCGAUGUCGGAUAGCUAGUUGGCGGGGUAACGGCCCGCCAAGGCGACGAUCCGUAGCUGGUCUGAGAGGAUGAUCAGCCACACUGGGACUGAGACACGGCCCAGACUCC
rnacentral:rRNA from 1 species